UACGUAGGGUCCGAGCGUUGUCCGGAAUUACUGGGCGUAAAGAGCGCGCAGGCGGUCGUUCAAGUCGAGUGUGAAAGCCCCCGGCUCAACUGGGGAGGGUCACUCGAUACUGAUCGACUUGAAGGCAGGAGAGGGAAGCGGAAUUCCCGGUGUAGUGGUGAAAUGCGUAGAUAUCGGGAGGAACACCAGUGGCGAAGGCGGCUUCCUGGCCUGUUCUUGACGCUGAGGCGCGAAAGCUAGGGGAGCAAACGGG
rnacentral:rRNA from 1 species